GGGUGUUGAGCUCAUUGGUACGAGCAACCGCCUCAUAAGCGGCAGGCAAGCGGGUUCGAUUCCCCUAGCACCCA
rnacentral:tRNA from 1 species